ACUACGGGGGGCUGCAGUGGGGAAUAUUGGGCAAUGGACGCAAGUCUGACCCAGCAACGCCGCGUGAAGGAAGAAGGCUUUCGGGUUGUAAACUUCUUUUAAGGGGGAAGAGCAGAAGACGGUACCCCUUGAAUAAGCCACGGCUAACGACGUGCCAGCAGACGCGGUAAUACGGGGGUGGCAAGCGUUGUCCGGAUUUACUGGGUUUAAAGGGCGGGAAGCCGGAGGGAAAAGUCAGAUGUGAAAUCCGCAGGCUCAACCUGCGAACUUCAUUUGAAACUUUUUCCCUUGCGUAUCGGAGAGGUCAUCGUAAUUCCUAGUGUAGCGGUGACAUUCGUAGCUAUUAGGAAGCACCCCAGUGGCGACGGCGGCUGACUGGACGACACCUGACGGUGCGGCGCGAAAGCGUGGGGAGCAAACAGGAUUAGAUACCCCUGUAGUC
rnacentral:rRNA from 1 species